rnacentral:rRNA from 1 species
GGUUAAGCGACUAAGCGUACACGGUGGAUGCCCUGGCAGUCAGAGGCGAUGAAGGACGUGCUAAUCUGCGAUAAGCGUCGGUAAGGUGAUAUGAACCGUUAUAACCGGCGAUUUCCGAAUGGGGAAACCCAGUGUGAUUCGUCACACUAUCAUUAACUGAAUCCAUAGGUUAAUGAGGCGAACCGGGGGAACUGAAACAUCUAAGUACCCCGAGGAAAAGAAAUCAACCGAGAUUCCCCCAGUAGCGGCGAGCGAACGGGGAGCAGCCCAGAGCCUGAAUCAGUGUGUGUGUUAGUGGAAGCGUCUGGAAAGGCGCGCGAUACAGGGUGACAGCCCCGUACACAAAAAUGCACAUGCUGUGAGCUCGAUGAGUAGGGCGGGACACGUGGUAUCCUGUCUGAAUAUGGGGGGACCAUCCUCCAAGGCUAAAUACUCCUGACUGACCGAUAGUGAACCAGUACCGUGAGGGAAAGGCGAAAAGAACCCCGGCGAGGGGAGUGAAAAAGAACCUGAAACCGUGUACGUACAAGCAGUGGGAGCACGCUUAGGCGUGUGACUGCGUACCUUUUGUAUAAUGGGUCAGCGACUUAUAUUCUGUAGCAAGGUUAACCGAAUAGGGGAGCCGAAGGGAAACCGAGUCUUAACUGGGCGUUAAGUUGCAGGGUAUAGACCCGAAACCCGGUGAUCUAGCCAUGGGCAGGUUGAAGGUUGGGUAACACUAACUGGAGGACCGAACCGACUAAUGUUGAAAAAUUAGCGGAUGACUUGUGGCUGGGGGUGAAAGGCCAAUCAAACCGGGAGAUAGCUGGUUCUCCCCGAAAGCUAUUUAGGUAGCGCCUCGUGAAUUCAUCUCCGGGGGUAGAGCACUGUUUCGGCAAGGGGGUCAUCCCGACUUACCAACCCGAUGCAAACUGCGAAUACCGGAGAAUGUUAUCACGGGAGACACACGGCGGGUGCUAACGUCCGUCGUGAAGAGGGAAACAACCCAGACCGCCAGCUAAGGUCCCAAAGUCAUGGUUAAGUGGGAAACGAUGUGGGAAGGCCCAGACAGCCAGGAUGUUGGCUUAGAAGCAGCCAUCAUUUAAAGAAAGCGUAAUAGCUCACUGGUCGAGUCGGCCUGCGCGGAAGAUGUAACGGGGCUAAACCAUGCACCGAAGCUGCGGCAGCGACGCUUAUGCGUUGUUGGGUAGGGGAGCGUUCUGUAAGCCUGUGAAGGUGUGCUGUGAGGCAUGCUGGAGGUAUCAGAAGUGCGAAUGCUGACAUAAGUAACGAUAAAGCGGGUGAAAAGCCCGCUCGCCGGAAGACCAAGGGUUCCUGUCCAACGUUAAUCGGGGCAGGGUGAGUCGACCCCUAAGGCGAGGCCGAAAGGCGUAGUCGAUGGGAAACAGGUUAAUAUUCCUGUACUUGGUGUUACUGCGAAGGGGGGACGGAGAAGGCUAUGUUGGCCGGGCGACGGUUGUCCCGGUUUAAGCGUGUAGGCUGGUUUUCCAGGCAAAUCCGGAAAAUCAAGGCUGAGGCGUGAUGACGAGGCACUACGGUGCUGAAGCAACAAAUGCCCUGCUUCCAGGAAAAGCCUCUAAGCAUCAGGUAACAUCAAAUCGUACCCCAAACCGACACAGGUGGUCAGGUAGAGAAUACCAAGGCGCUUGAGAGAACUCGGGUGAAGGAACUAGGCAAAAUGGUGCCGUAACUUCGGGAGAAGGCACGCUGAUAUGUAGGUGAAGUCCCUCGCGGAUGGAGCUGAAAUCAGUCGAAGAUACCAGCUGGCUGCAACUGUUUAUUAAAAACACAGCAC